AAACGCAAAAACCUCUUGGGGCACUUGUCGCGCACCGACAGCGCACCCCCUGUGCCGCUACUAUACUAUGAUGGGUGCGACACGACCGAAAUUAAUUAGCUACCGGAAUCUACCGAAUAGCGGAAGAGAGAGCAAAAAGACAUCGAAAGAUAUUCUGGUUUUACAUUUUUAAUUCACAUACUUUUUACUAUGUACGCACGUUUAUGCCACUAAUUGCAAUAAUAGGCAGAUUAAAAAUCUUCAAAAAAGCGUACUUUCUUUCCAUUAGAGGCAAAAAGUACGUAUAUAAAAACAUAUGUGAAAAUGCACUUGAAACGCAAUUCAGAUACUGUGUUUAUAUCUAGAUAUAAACAUGAAUACUGUAAUUUCAAUAUACCUUAGAUAUACAGACUCAGAUACAUUCACAAAAUAUAUCUUGUUACGUGUAUCACAGAUACUACUCAAUACCGCAUACGACAUUUGUAUCCUGAAGGAAUUCGCAAGAAGCAAUUCAUUGUCGAGCGUCACAACUUUAAAAGAAGCUUUCUUCGAUCGAUCUUCUCAAACAUGUAAAACUAAAAAAUCUGAUUCUUUAUGGAAA